CCCUUAGAUGUUCUGGGCUGCACGCGCGCUACACUGAUGCGCUCAACGAGUUUAUGACCUUGCCCGGAAGGGUUGGGUAAUCUUCUUAAAACGCAUCGUGACGGGGAUAGAUUAUUGCAAUUAUUAAUCUUCAACGAGGAAUGCCUAGUAGGCGCAAGUCAUCAGCUUGCGUCGAUUACGUCCCUGCCCUUUGUACACACCGCCCGUCGCUCCUACCGAUUGGGUGUGCUGGUGAAAUGUUCGGAUCGGCCGUUUGUCGCGGUUUCCGCGUCAUGUGGCUGAGAAGUUCAUUAAACCCUCCCACCUAGAGGAAGGAGAAGUCGUAACA
rnacentral:rRNA from 1 species